UAGAGACAACACCUACAUAACUAACUGAAUAUGGAGAACUAGAGCUGGUGCCUACCUAGAGCUUUUACCCUUACUGAGUAGUAAUAUCUAAAGGCUAAGGAAAAGGCAAACAUCAACCCAGCUACAAACUCCUCAGUCCACGAUGGUGACCUACCUGCAAGACAUGCUUAUGCAAUAGUGUCACAAAGCUGGUGGGACUAACCAACCAAUAUUGGAUUGGGUUUAAGACGCACUCCAUGAGAUGCAACCCAUCCCCAACACUGCUCAGAUCAGCGUCUCACUCAGCCACCAUCGGAGAAGCUUCCUCCUGCAGCAGAUGGGAGCUAAUACAGAGACCCACAUCUGAGCAAUGUGCAAGAGUGAGACACUGCAGAACCCUCAAUUCUAAAUGGGUUGUCUCCACCAAAUCCCUCCUCUCAAGGCCCAGGGAGCCCAACUGAAGAAGAGUGUAAGCAUCAGAGGGGAUGCAGGACACCAGUGAAACAAGGCUUUCUAAACACAGCAGAACCAAUCACACAUGAACUCAGAGACUGCACAGGGUCUGCAGGGGUCUGGGCCUGAUGGUCCCACUGCUGAGAAGCUAAGAAGCCCCAUCCCUAACUCAGAAGCUAGCUCCAAUUGAUGACCACUUACAAAUGAAAUAUUAGUUUUCUCUGAGGGAGUCUCACUGGGUAUACAGACCACACUGAAGGGCAGACCCUAUGCCCAGCAGUCGAUGGACAAGAUAAAACACACUCAAUGACAUUUUGGGAUUUUAAAAAUUUGUCUUAUAGUGCUUUAUUUGGGCCUCCUCCUCCUGCCCCCUCCUGUCUUCACAGGUCCUUAUGGUUUCUGGGAUUGUGUCUUUAUGGGAUUUCUGUGUGUUCAGACUGUAUGCAUCUACGACAUAAACAAAUGUCUGUGCGCCA